rnacentral:rRNA from 1 species
GAUAAACGCUGGCGGCGUGCCUAACACAUGCAAGUCGAACGCUCUGUGCGCAAGUGCAGGGAGUGGCGGACGGGUGAGGAACACGUGGGGAUCGACCCUGGGGUGAGGAAUACCGGCGAGAAAUCGCCGACAAUACCGCAUAGGCUUGGAGCAAUCCAAGCAAAGCUCGCGAGAGCGCCACAGGACGAGCCUGCGCCCGAUUAGUUAGUUGGUGGGGUAAUGGCUUACCAAGGCGACGAUCGGUAGCUGGUCUGAGAGGACGAUCAGCCACACUGGGAUUGAGAACGGCCCAGACUCCUACGGGGGGCAGCAGUGAGGAAUUUUCGUCAAUGGGGGCAACCCUGAACGAGCAACGCCGCGUGCAGGAAGAAGGUUUUCGGAUCGUAAACUGCUUUUCUCUGGGACGAGCAAGGACGGUACCAGAGGAACAAGCCCCGGCUAACUACGUGCCAGCAGCCGCGGUAAUACGUAGGGGGCGAGCGUUGUCCGGAUUUAUUGGGCGUAAAGGGUUCGGAGGCGGUGGAGCAAGUUUCGCGUGACAGUCCUCGGCUCAACUGAGGAAGGAUGCGGAAAACUGCUCGACUUGAGGGCGUAAGAGGAAAGCGGAAUUCCGGGUGGAGUGGUGAAAUGCGUAGAUAUCCGGAGGAACACCAAAGGCGAAGGCAGCUUUCUGGUACGCAUCUGACGCUGAUGGACGAAAGCCAGGGGAGCGAACGGGAUUAGAUACCCCGGUAGUCCUGGCCGUAAACGAUGACCACUAGACGUAAGAGGUAUCGACCCCCCUUGUGUCGCAGCAAACGCGAUAAGUGGUCCGCCUGGGGAGUACGGUCGCAAGAUUA